rnacentral:misc_RNA from 1 species
GAUGAAGAACGCAGCGAAAUGCGAUAAGUAAUGUGAAUUGCAGAAUUCAGUGAAUCAUCGAAUCUUUGAACGCACAUUGCGCCCGCCAGAAUACUGGCGGGCAUGCCUGUUCGAGCGUCAUUUCAACCCUCAAGCCCAGCUUGGUGUUGGGGAUCGGCACAGGCGCCCUCGGGCGCCCGCCGUCCCCUAAAUCUAGUGGCGGUCCCGCUGCAGCCUCCUCUGCGUAGUAGUUUUCUCCUCGCAAGGGCAGCUCGGUGGCGACCUCGCCGUAAAACCCCCAACUUCUGAAAGGUUGACCUCGAAUCAGGUAGGAAUACCCGCUGAACUUAAGCAUAUCAAUAAGCGGAGGA